rnacentral:rRNA from 1 species
UACGAAGGGGGCUAGCGUUGCUCGGAAUCACUGGGCGUAAAGCGCACGUAGGCGGAUCUUUAAGUCAGGGGUGAAAUCCUGGAGCUCAACUCCAGAACUGCCUUUGAUACUGGGGAUCUCGAGUCCGGGAGAGGUGAGUGGAACUGCGAGUGUAGAGGUGAAAUUCGUAGAUAUUCGCAAGAACACCGGUGGCGAAGGCGGCAUCCUGGACCGGCAUUGACGCUGAGGCGCGAAAGCCAGGGGAGCAAACGGG